UGAGUUCACACCUCAGAAGAAAGGUGGAGAGAAAGGUGUCCCUUUCUACCUCUAGAUAAACAUCUUCAAGCCCAGUGACAAGGCAUCUGUAGAGCACCUGAAUUUGGCUGGCUGCCUCACCAAGGUGUUCAAGGUUUGGGCAGCCCUGGCUCUGCCUUGCUGUGGACUUUCAGCAUUCCAAGCCUUUGUUUUGGGACUCUUCUCCUUUUCUAUACAGAGAGGGAUGGGAUUUGUGGUGAGCAGGGAAAGAAGGGGUCUCUGAAGCUUCUGUAUCACCCUUCUGGAACCCAAAGGAGCUGACUAGAAACUGAAAACUGACCAGGAGAAGAUUGUGAAACAACCCCCGCCUGAGAGACAACUCUCGGAGCCUGCAAGAGCAUGGUCUUCUUGGAGUAUUUGCCCCGGCCAGAAUUUACUGCAGCCACCUCUCAGUCCUCUCACUCUGACCUCUGCCAAGUCCCAAAAGCUCCUGUCCUCAAAUAGGAUGUGCAUGUGUCAGCCCCUUCAGGUACUGUUUUUCACCAUCAUUCACCUUGGGAUUCAGCUCAGUUGAGG